CCCAGACUCCUACGGGAGGCAGCAGUGGGGAAUAUUGCACAAUGGGGGAAACCCUGAUGCAGCAACGCCGCGUGAGUGAAGAAGUCAUUCGUGAUGUAAAGCUCUAUCAGCAGGGAAGAAAAUGACGGUACCUGACUAAGAAGCCCCGGCUAACUACGUGCCAGCAGCCGCGGUAAUACGUAGGGGGCAAGCGUUAUCCGGAUUUACUGGGUGUAAAGGGAGCGUAGACGGCGACGCAAGUCUGAAGUGAAAGCCCGGGGCUCAACCGCGGGACUGCUUUGGAAACUGUUAAGCUGGAGUGCAGGAGAGGUAAGUGGAAUUCCUAGUGUAGCGGUGAAAUGCGUAGAUAUUAGGAGGAACACCAGUGGCGAAGGCGGCUUACUGGACUGUAACUGACGUUGAGGCUCGAAAGCGUGGGGAGCAAACAGGAUUAGAUACCCGGGUAC
rnacentral:rRNA from 1 species